rnacentral:tRNA from 1 species
GGCCUCGUGGUGGAAUUGGUAGACACAGCAGACUUAAAAUCUGCGGCCCGUAACGGGCGUGACGGUUCGAGUCCGUCCGAGGCCACCA